UAGAGUUGAGGAUGUAAGCAGUGUACAGAGGAAGAGGAUAGUUGAGGAUGUAAGCAGUGUGGAAGAGGAUAGAGUUGAGGAUGUAAGCAGUGUGGAAGAGGAUAGAGUUGAGGAUGUAAGCAGUGUACGGAGUAAGAGGAUAGUUGAGGAUGUAAGCAGUGUGGAAGAGGAUAGAGUUGAGGAUGUAAGCAGUGUGGAAGAGGAUAGAGUUGAGGAUGGAAGCAGUGUACGGAGUAAGAGGAUAGUUGAGGAUGUAAGCAGUGUGGAAGAGGAUAGAGUUGAGGAUGUAAGCAGUGUGGAAGAGGAUAGAGUUGAGGAUGUAAGCAGUGUACAGAGGAAGAGGAUAGUUGAGGAUGUAAGCAGUGUACAGAGGAAGAGGAUAGAGUUGAGGAUGUAAGCAGUGUACGGAGUAAGAGGAUAGUUGAGGUUGUAAGCAGUGUACGGAGUAAGAGGAUAGUUGAGGUUGUAAGCAGUGUACGGACUAAGAGGAUAGUUGAGGAUGUAAGCAGUGUACAGAGGAAGAGGAUAGAGUUGAGGAUGUAAGCAGUGUACGGAGGAAGAGGAUAGUUGAGGAUGUAAGCAGUGAGGAAGAGGAUAGAGUUGAGGAUGUAAGCAGUGAGGAAGAGGAUAGAGUUGAGGUUGUAAGCAGUGUACGGAGUAAGAGGAUAGUUGAGGUUGUAAGCAGUGUGGAAGAGGAUAGUUGAGGUUGUAAGCAGUGUGGAAGAGGAUAGAGUUGAGGAUGUAAGCAGUGUACGGAGUAAGAGGAUAGUUGAGGAUGUAAGCAGUGUACAGAGUAAGAGGAUAGUUGAGGAUGUAAGCAGUGUACGGAGUAAGAGGAUAGUUGAGGAUGUAAGCAGUGAGGAAGAGGAUAGAGUUGAGGUUGUAAGCAGUGUACAGAGUAAGAGGAUAGUUGAGGAUGUAAGCAGUGAGGAAGAGGAUAGAGUUGAGGUUGUAAGCAGUGUACAGAGUAAGAGGAUAGUUGAGGAUGUAAGCAGUGAGGAAGAGGAUAGAGUUGAGGUUGUAAGCAGUGUACAGAGUAAGAGGAUAGUUGAGGAUGUAAGCAGUGAGGAAGAGGAUAGAGUUGAGGAUGUAAGCAGUGAGGAAGAGGAUAGAGUUGAGGAUGUAAGCAGUGUACGGAGUAAGAGGAUAGUUGAGGAUGUAAGCAGUGAGGAAGAGGAUAGAGUUGAGGAUGUAAGCAGUGUACAGAGUAAGAGGAUAGUUGAGGAUGUAAGCAGUGAGGAAGAGGAUAGAGUUGAGGAUGGAAGCAGUGUACGGAGUAAGAGGAUA